AACGAACGCUGGCGGCAUGCCUAAUACAUGCAAGUCGAACGAUCACUUCGGUGGUAGUGGCGCACGGGUGCGUAACGCGUGGGAAUCUACCCUUGGGUUCGGAAUAACAGUUAGAAAUGACUGCUAAUACCGGAUGAUGACGAAAGUCCAAAGAUUUAUCGCCCAAGGAUGAGCCCGCGUAGGAUUAGCUAGUUGGUGAGGUAAAAGCUCACCAAGGCGACGAUCCUUAGCUGGUCUGAGAGGAUGAUCAGCCACACUGGGACUGAGACACGGCCCAGACUCCUACGGGAGGCAGCAGUAGGGAAUAUUGGACAAUGGGGGCAACCCUGAUCCAGCAAUGCCGCGUGAGUGAUGAAGGCCUUAGGGUUGUAAGGCUCUUUUACCCGAGAUGAUAAUGACAGUAUCGGGAGAAUACGCUCCGGCUAACUCCGUGCCAGCCGCCGCGGUAA
rnacentral:rRNA from 1 species